GGAUGCUUUUUGGAGAGGAAUGAAUUUGGAUUAGGCAUUCACAUUUAUUUAUGCCCUUACAUGUUAAAGAAGGUGAAACUGAGGCCAGGUGCGGUGGCUCACACCUGUAAUCCCAGCACUUUGGGAGGCUGAGUCAGGUGGAUCACGAGGUCAGGAGAUCGAGACCAUCCUGGCUAACAUGGUGAAACCCCAUCUUUACUAAAAAUACAAAAAAAAUUUAGCCUGGCGUGGUGGUGGGCACCUGUAGUCACAGCUAAUUGGGAGGCUGAGACAGGAGAAUGGCGUGAACCCAGGAGGCAGAGCUUACAGUGAGCUGAGAUCACGCCACUGCACUCCAGCCUGAGUGACAGAGCAAGACUCUGUCUCGAAAAAAACAAACAAAACAAAAAACUCAAGCAAAUUCGAUCUGAGGAAAAGCCCAGUUCUCAGUGAUGAGGAUUCUGAUCUUGACUUUGAUAUCAACAAAUUGGAACAGCAGAGCAAGGUGCAAAGCAAAGGACAUGGAAAACCAAGAGAAAAGUCCAUAGUAGAUGAGAAAUUCUUCCAACUCUCUGAAAUGGAGGCCUGUUUAGAAAACAGAGAAAAAGAAGAGGAACGAAAAGAUGAUGAUGAGGUGGCAGAUACUGAUUUUUCUGAAGAUACUGAUUCUGAUGAAGAUGAAGGGGGACUGUUUGGAAGUAAAAAACUUCAGAUAAAAGUUCCAGAAAUAUGAAGUACAAAGAUUUUUUUGAUCCAGUUGAAAGUGAUGAAGAUAUAGCAAGUGAUCACGAUGAUGAUCUGGUUCAAACAAGAUGAUGAAAUUGCUGAAGAAGCAGCAGAAGAACUAAGCAUUUCUGAAAUGUAUUUUGAACCAUCCUUUACAUUGUUAGCUGGAAUUGCCCAAUCAUGUAUUGGUACUUGUGGUUUUCACAUAUGUUUGUUUUAAGAAGUUAGAUUCUCUCCUAUCAGAUAUUCUCAAGAUAGCCAGAGGAAAGUCUGGAUUUAAAGGGACAUUAGAGAUCAUUUAAUGAAGAAAAAUAUUACUGGCAGUAGCAAUCAAACCUUUCUUACCAGGAACUUUGAUUUGGUUUUGUGCCCAAAAUAUCCUGUUAUUUUUGUGAGAUAGGAGGUUUGUAUUAUAGAUUGAUGAAUAAUUUAUUUUCUAUAUAUUGGACACUUUUUGUUCUGUUUCUUACAUAGCAUGUCACUUAAAUGAUACCUUCUCUUCCUCCAUACCUGAAUGAUUUUGGAAGUUCUGAGCAUUUGGUGGCAUUAGGCAUAUAAAAGAAGAACUUUAUUAAGGGAAAAUAUGUUUCCUUUUGUUUUUCUAAUGGAAAGCAGUAUAUUUCUUUUUGUAAGAGUUUUGGUAGUGCAGGGAUGGAGAUGAUGACCUGGAAGAAAGUGAAGACAGUAAACAAGGUAAAGAAAGCUUGAAAAGAGUGACCUUUGCUUCACCGGAUGAUGAGGCAACUGAAGAUGCAGGUGUUUUAAAUGUAAAGAAAAAUUCUGAUGAAGAUAAAUCCUCUUUUCAAAAAAGACAGGAAAAGCAUAUCUCUCCUGACAAAGCUGUCCUGAGAACCUCUUCUUGUAACUGUUUUGACUGCUCUGGAGGAUGCCGCCUAUGUCUUUAAGAUGAAUGACAAAAAUUACAUCUUUUGAAAAAGAGUUGUUAGAAAAAAGCCUUGGCUGCUUGUGGGGGAAGUGACAACACAGAAGAGACCAGAGAAGAGCCUCCUGGAGGAGAGCUGCGCUUUGACCAUGCUGUCCGGAUGGGUGUAGUGUGCUCUUCUGCAGAGUGUUCACUUCUCUGCUUUUUCUAUGGUCCCAUUUCAUAGAAAGAUUUGAGGUGACGUUUCUUUCCCUCAACUUUUUAUUUUAAAAACUUGCAAACACAGAAAAGUUGAUAAAAUCAUGCAGUGAACAUAUGUAUGCUAUUCAACUGGAUUCACUAGUUAACGUUUUGUCAUAUUUGUUUUCUCUCUUCCAUGUAUGGAAGAUUGUAUAUGUGCCCUUCUUCCCCCUGAAUGAUUUCAAAGUAAGUUGGCAGUAUCAGAGCAUUUCACUGUUAAGUACUUUUGCAGAUAUCGUCUAAGAACCAGGACAUUCUCCUAUAUAAUCACAAUGCCAUUAAUCCACCCAAAAAUUUUAACUUCAAUACACUAAUGAUAUCUAAUGUAUGGAUUAUAAUCAGCUUUCUGGCAGUAAUCUGUUUAGAAGGCUUGCAUCCUGUCACUGUCCACCGAUUAAAUUUUGAACUCUAACUUGAAACCCUGGUCAUCUCAUUGCCUUCUUUCUUAUACCCAUUAAAUCCAAAGGAGCUCUCAUUUUAUUUCUACAGAAAAGAGAAUGGAAAAGAGGGGAAGAGUCCCUAGUACCUUGGAUAAAGUAUGAGCACUUACUACCAUAUGUAUUCUAGUUCUGUAGUUUUCAAACUUCAGGGAGCAUCUCAAGGCUUAUUAAAGCACAGAUAGCUGUCCUUCCCCACUUUCUGAUUCAGGAGGUGUGGGGCUGGCCCAGGAAUUUGCAUGUCUAACAAGUUCCCACAUGUUGCUGAUGCUGAGGGUCUAAGGAAUACAAUGCGUGAACCCGUGGUUUAGUGGAUAUCCACCUAAUGAAUACAUGUUGUAUUUCCUUUUGCACCUGUGAUUACAGAGGAAACACCUUUCGACUGGAAGAUAUCAUUAAACAGAGGAUAAGAGAUCAGGUCAGUAAGAAUUAAAUUUAACUUAAUUGAAAUGUCACUCAAAAGUUUAGAAAUAAUAUGACAGGCCAGACACAGUGGCUCAU